UCGAACAGGAAAAUAAGAGAGAAGAACUACAGGUGAAAAAAUCAAAUUCUAACAAGAAAAUAAGAGAGAGAGAAGAACUACAGGUGAAAAAUGAAUUUCCCUCAAACCAUAUUCGAAUAAGAGAAAAAAACAAAUGUGGAUUUUCCUCAAAAACUGAGUUUUCUUUUUACUAUUAAGGAUAUUGUUGAAAUUUUUGAAGUUCUGGUAUUCCACAUCUCUCGGAAGGAAUGGCUCUCUGGCAGUCUGAAGUUUUCCAAUAUAUCUCCUAACUUUAGUGUAGAGGGUAUCUUUAUCUACGUUAGCCAUAGCGACGACAAGAGCACGAGAGCAAACGAACCAUCUAUUUUGAGGGUCCAAUGAAAGGGGCGCCUCCUGAUUUUAAUUCAUUGGGGGCGUCCCAGGAUUUAGAAUUUUCGUAAAGGUUGACGGGCCCUUUCUGGUGGUGUGGGCGUUAAAAACGUUAGUUCUUAUUUUUAUUUUAUAAAAAAAAUGAAUUUUAACUAUUAUAUU